ensembl:lncRNA
GUGGUUAACCCUUCAUGAGGAUCACAUCAAUAGGCAUGAUGACUUCGGACAGCUUAAAGCUGACCUUAUCAGUACAAUAAAUGAAACAAGUGGAAAGCUGCUGCGAGGGGAAUGUGAUAAUUUCUAUGAUCACGUCAAACAGGCAAUUGUUAGAACUGAUCUACACUGCCGUGAAAAAUCCAAAAAUGAUUAUGGAGCUAAAUCCUAUUGGCAAAAAGUUGCGAAAUCUGACCCACACUACAGGGCUGUGGCACUGUAUAACCAGGCGUAUAUCACUAUUAACCUUGGUAAAGGUAACUAUAAAGCAGAUGCUAUGAACCUGCUGAAAGACGCAAAGAAAUCCAUUGACGUCUACGUCUCAGAAGUCUCAAACACAAUGGUCUCAUGUAACUUAUCAGUCACUGGAAACAAAGAUCAGAGCACAGAGAGCAACAACUUUCAGAGUCAAAUGGAGGCCAGAAUGAACAUCUUUAAGUCUUGGAUGACAUACAUUGAUAAUGCAUUGAUUAAACUUAAAGAGCUGGAAAAAGAUGACAGUGACGCCAUUACAGAGGAGUGUUCAGUCUACAUGCUGUCUGAAGAAAAGAACUUCAUCAUCACUAAUGAGCUGAGAUCCUUAUACGACUAUGGCCUCGGUGUUGUUUUUGAGGUGAAAAAGAAGCCCAAGUUUUGCAUAGAUGCUUUGAUAUGUUUCAUUCUUGGCAUGGUACAGGUUCUUGCUGGGGUUCUUGUUUGCGCGCUGACAUUUGGAACAGCCAGCCAGUUUGGAAUGGGCCUGAUUUCAGAAGGAGUGUCUGACAUGAUCAGUGGAGUAGAGGGGAUGAUAAAGGGUUCAUUCGAUUGGGUGUCAUGGGCAAUAUCUAAGAGUAUCAGCAUUGGGCUUUCUUUGAUAACGGCUGGUUUUAGCAUGAUCAAAAAAGCAGUUACCGCAGUGUUUAAAGUGACAAAAAGUCUCCUAAAUGGUACAAAGUCUUUUUCUUCUGUUGCAUCUGAAUUCAUCAAAUCAGGAAAGGCAAUGUUUACUUCAUUCAAAGGAGGUGUUCAGUCUGGUUUAUCAUCCGUCAGUAAGGAAUCUU